GAUGAAGAACGUAGCGAAAUGCGAUAAGUAAUGUGAAUUGCAGAAUUCAGUGAAUCAUCGAAUCUUUGAACGCACAUUGCGCCCGCUAGUAUUCUGGCGGGCAUGCCUGUCCGAGCGUCAUUUCAACCCUCAAGCCCCCGGGCUUGGUGUUGGGGAUCGGCGAGCCUCCGCGCCCGCCGUCCCCUAAAUCUAGUGGCGGUCUCGCUGUAGCUUCCUCUGCGUAGUAGCACACCUCGCACUGGGAAACAGCGCGGCCACGCCGUUAAACCCCCAACUUCUGAACGUUUGACCUCGGAUCAGGUAGGAAUACCCGCUGAACUUAAGCAUAUCGAUAAGCGGAGGA
rnacentral:misc_RNA from 1 species